GGGUUGUGAGGUUAAGCGACUAAGCGUACACGGUGGAUGCCUAGGCAGUCAGAGGCGAUGAAGGGCGUGCUAAUCUGCGAUAAGCGUCGGUAAGCUGAUAUGAAGCGUUAUACCCGACGAUACCCGAAUGGGGAAACCCAGUGUGUUUCGACACACUAUCAUUAUGUGAAUACAUAGCAUAAUGAGGCGAACCGGGGGAACUGAAACAUCUCAGUACCCCGAGGAAAAGAAAUCAACCGAGAUUCCCCCAGUAGCGGCGAGCGAACGGGGAGGAGCCCAGAACCUGAAUCAGUUUGUGUGUUAGUGGAAGCGUCUGGAAAGUCGCACAGUAAAGGGUGAUAGUCCCGUACACAAAAAUGCACAAGUUGUGAGUUCGAUGAGUAGGGCGGGACACGUGACAUCCUGUCUGAAUAUGGGGGGACCAUCCUCCAAGGCUAAAUACUCCUGACUGACCGAUAGUGAACCAGUACCGUGAGGGAAAGGCGAAAAGAACCCCGGCGAGGGGAGUGAAAUAGAACCUGAAACCGUGUACGUACAAGCAGUGGGAGCCUACUUGUUAGGUGACUGCGUACCUUUUGUAUAAUGGGUCAGCGACUUAUAUUCUGUAGCAAGGUUAACCGUAUAGGGGAGCCGCAGGGAAACCGAGUCUUAACUGGGCGUUAAGUUGCAGGGUAUAGACCCGAAACCCGGUGAUCUAGCCAUGGGCAGGUUGAAGGUUGGGUAACACUAACUGGAGGACCGAACCGACUAAUGUUGAAAAAUUAGCGGAUGACUUGUGGCUGGGGGUGAAAGGCCAAUCAAACCGGGAGAUAGCUGGUUCUCCCCGAAAGCUAUUUAGGUAGCGCCUCGUGAAUUCAUCUUCGGGGGUAGAGCACUGUUUCGGCUAGGGGGUCAUCCCGACUUACCAACCCGAUGCAAACUACGAAUACCGAAGAAUGUUAUCACGGGAGACACACGGCGGGUGCUAACGUUCGUCGUGAAGAGGGAAACAACCCAGACCGCCAGCUAAGGUCCCAAAGUCAUGGUUAAGUGGGAAACGAUGUGGGAAGGCAUAGACAGCCAGGAUGUUGGCUUAGAAGCAGCCAUCAUUUAAAGAAAGCGUAAUAGCUCACUGGUCGAGUCGGCCUGCGCGGAAGAUGUAACGGGGCUAAACCAUGCACCGAAGCUGCGGCAGCGACACUUAGGUGUUGUUGGGUAGGGGAGCGUUCUGUAAGCCUGCGAAGGUGGCCUGUGAGGGCUGCUGGAGGUAUCAGAAGUGCGAAUGCUGACAUAAGUAACGAUAAUGCGGGUGAAAAACCCGCACGCCGGAAGACCAAGGGUUCCUGUCCAACGUUAAUCGGGGCAGGGUGAGUCGACCCCUAAGGCGAGGCUGAAAAGCGUAGUCGAUGGGAAACAGGUUAAUAUUCCUGUACUCGGUGUUACUGCGAAGGGGGGACGGAGAAAGCUAGGUUAUCCGGGCGACGGUUGUCCCGGUUUAAGCGUGAAGGUGGAUGACUUUGGUAAAUCCGGGUCAUCAUUAACACUGAGGCGUGAUGACGAGUCACUACGGUGAUGAAGUAACCGAUGCUACGCUUCCAGGAAAAGCCUCUAAGCUCCAGGUAACAUCAAAUCGUACCCCAAACCGACACAGGUGGUCAGGUAGAGAAUACUCAGGCGCUUGAGAGAACUCGGGUGAAGGAACUAGGCAAAAUGGUGCCGUAACUUCGGGAGAAGGCACGCUGAUGGUAGGUGAAGUGACUUGCUCAUGGAGCUGAAAUCAGUCGAAGAUACCAGCUGGCUGCAACUGUUUAAUAAAAACACAGCACUGUGCAAACACGAAAGUGGACGUAUACGGUGUGACGCCUGCCCGGUGCCGGAAGGUUAAUUGAUGGGGUCAGCCGCAAGGCGAAGCUCUUGAUCGAAGCCCCGGUAAACGGCGGCCGUAACUAUAACGGUCCUAAGGUAGCGAAAUUCCUUGUCGGGUAAGUUCCGACCUGCACGAAUGGCGUAAUGAUGGCCAGGCUGUCUCCACCCGAGACUCAGUGAAAUUGAACUCGCUGUGAAGAUGCAGUGUACCCGCGGCAAGACGGAAAGACCCCGUGAACCUUUACUAUAGCUUGACACUGAACCUUGAGCCUUGAUGUGUAGGAUAGGUGGGAGGCUUUGAAGCGUGGACGCCAGUCUGCGUGGAGCCAACCUUGAAAUACCACCCUUUAAUGUUUGAUGUUCUAACGUGGACCCGUGAUCCGGGUUGCGGACAGUGUCUGGUGGGUAGUUUGACUGGGGCGGUCUCCUCCCAAAGCGUAACGGAGGAGCACGAAGGUUAGCUAAUCCUGGUCGGACAUCAGGAGGUUAGUGCAAAGGCAUAAGCUAGCUUGACUGCGAGAGUGACAGCUCGAGCAGGUGCGAAAGCAGGUCUUAGUGAUCCGGUGGUUCUGAAUGGAAGGGCCAUCGCUCAACGGAUAAAAGGUACUCCGGGGAUAACAGGCUGAUACCGCCCAAGAGUUCAUAUCGACGGCGGUGUUUGGCACCUCGAUGUCGGCUCAUCACAUCCUGGGGCUGAAGUAGGUCCCAAGGGUAUGGCUGUUCGCCAUUUAAAGUGGUACGCGAGCUGGGUUUAGAACGUCGUGAGACAGUUCGGUCCCUAUCUGCCGUGGGCGUUGGAAGAUUGAGAGGGGUUGCUCCUAGUACGAGAGGACCGGAGUGAACGCACCACUGGUGUACGGGUUGUGAUGCCAAUUGCAUUGCCCGGUAGCUAAGUGCGGAAGAGAUAACCGCUGAAAGCAUCUAAGCGGGAAACUUGCCUCGAGAUGAGUCUUCCCUGGACACUUGAUGUCCCUGAAGGGCCGUUGAAGACGACGACGUAGAUAGGCUGGGUGUGUAAGCGUAGCGAUACGUUGAGCUAACCAGUACUAAUGACCCGAGAGGCUUAACCUUACAACACCGAAGGUGUUU
rnacentral:rRNA from 1 species